GUCAGUCAUUUCUUAACUGGCUGUGGAAAGGGGAUAGGAAUUGGUUACAGAUGGAAAUCCACUAACUCCCCAUUCCCCUUGUGUGGGCAAAGAGUCUCUAGAAACUAAUUUCCUUUUUGGAACAUUUGUUUACUUUCAAACCUUAUAUUCAUUUCCUUUGUGUGGGGGUAGAGAGAGGGAAAGAGAAGAAUGACUCCCAGUUUAAUUUGCUCACUUCUAUUUCCACAAUUAUUAGUUUUCUUUUAAAGCACUCAAGAAUAUAUUGCUUUGGUUCCAGGUUCUCUUGGGGAUCCACAAGUUCCUUUGCUUUAUCAGUUACCUUAGGACCUAGGUCUGAAAGACAUCUCACUCUUUUCCUCUGCUGGGCAAUUCACCAUUUCGCAGCUUCAAUGUCUACCCCAGGAAAAUUGCAACAACUACCUAUCUAAGUAUCAUCUAUCU